rnacentral:rRNA from 1 species
GACGAACGCUGGCGGCGUGCUUAACACAUGCAAGUCGAACGGUAAGGCCCUUCGGGGUACACGAGUGGCGAACGGGUGAGUAACACGUGGGUGACCUGCCUCGAGCUCUGGGAUAAGCCUGGGAAACUGGGUCUAAUACCGGAUAUGACCUUCUCUCGCAUGGGGGUUGGUGGAAAGUUUUUCGGCUCGAGAUGGGCCCGCGGCCUAUCAGCUUGUUGGUGGGGUGAUGGCCUACCAAGGCGACGACGGGUAGCCGGCCUGAGAGGGCGACCGGCCACACUGGGACUGAGAUACGGCCCAGACUCCUACGGGAGGCAGCAGUGGGGAAUAUUGCGCAAUGGGCGGAAGCCUGACGCAGCGACGCCGCGUGGGGGAUGACGGCCUUCGGGUUGUAAACCUCUUUCGACCGGGACGAAGCGAAAGUGACGGUACCGGUAUAAGAAGCACCGGCCAACUACGUGCCAGCAGCCGCCGUAA